rnacentral:rRNA from 1 species
AUUGAACGCUGGCGGUAUGCUUAACACAUGCAAGUCGAACGGUAACAGGCCUUCGGGCGCUGACGAGUGGCGGACGGGUGAGUAACGCGUAGGAAUCUGCCUCAUAGUGGGGGACAACGUGUGGAAACGCACGCUAAUACCGCAUACGCCCUACGGGGGAAAGCGGGGGACCUUCGGGCCUCGCGCACGGAGAUGAGCCUGCGUUAGAUUAGCUAGUUGGUAGGGUAAAGGCCUACCAAGGCGACGAUCUAUAGCUGGUCUGAGAGGACGAUCAGCCACACUGGGACUGAGACACGGCCCAGACUCCUACGGGAGGCAGCAGUGGGGAAUAUUGGACAAUGGGCGCAAGCCUGAUCCAGCAAUACCGCGUGUGUGAAGAAGGCCCUAGGGUUGUAAAGCACUUUCAAUAGGGAGGAAAACCUGUCGGUCAAUACCCGGCAGCUUGACAUUACCUAUACAAGAAGCACCGGCUAACUCCGUGCCAGCCGCCGCAGUAAGAC